rfam:Aedes aegypti strain Liverpool supercont1.497 genomic scaffold, whole genome shotgun sequence.
UGCCCAGCAACACCUAUCCCUACCUUCUCGCGGUACUGGCCGGGGUACGAGUAACCUUAGGGAAGAUCGGGUAACCAACCCCCGGUGGGAACUUUGGUCGUAUGCUGACCGGGGAGG